rnacentral:lncRNA from 1 species
GGGGAGAGUAGGGAGAGUCAUUCCUAGAGUUUUAAAGCAAUGGAGCAAUUAUCUUACUGCUUUAGAGAAACAGCUUAGGGAGAAAGAGGCAGAGGACAAAGGAACUCGCCAGUUGCUUCUGCAAAAAACGAAAAAACAGAAAAAAAUCUAAAUGAGUUCUCCUGCAGACUUGAAUAGAACUAAAAGGAAGAGGAAGGGCAAAUUUGUUGGCUGCUUGAGCUGGGAUAUUCAUCUUUCUCCUGAUCUUGGACAUCAGAACUCCUGAUUCUCAAGCCUUUGGGUUUGGACUGGAGGCACCAGCUUUCCUGGGCCUCCAGCUUGCAGAUGGCAUAUCAUGGAACUUCUCAGCCUCCAAAUUCAUAACUCUAAUACACCAGUACAAUGGAAAGAUUCCUAAAUUCAAAAGCCAGAAGGCUGGGUUCCUGUUCCCACCCUGCCUUUUACCUUCUGUGUGUUCCUGAUGAAGACACUUCAUGCUCCACUAUUUACUUACCUCUGAAACGAAGGGCUGACCCAGAUCAGUUGUUCUCUGACCUGCUUGGAGGGACUCAGAGGCUGUGGAGAGUGAAUAUUUCCAUCAGCUGAUGCCCUUCUCAGGCCUCAAUCUCCCCUGGUUUGCAGACUGUGGCCCUCCUUGGCCUCUGUGGAAUCUGGCCAUUUGAAUCCUGUCAGCCCUGUUCUCCAUCACCAAAGGACUCCGGAGGAACUGUGCCAAGCAGGCUGUCAGCCACGGGCAAGCUUUCUGAAAAAGACGUGCCAACUGCAGCCACAGAAAGUCCAUUCCCUUGAAUAACUUUGCUAAUAUUUGAAAAUUAGUUCCCUUGCUCCUGAUCAUGCUACUGGGUAUUUGGAUAUAAGAGCAAGGAUGAGGGCAAUAGAAAAUUAAAAUCAUGUUCUACUCAUAUAAACUGCACAGAUAUGGAAGGGUAGGUCCUAUUACCUAUAAUCCUGGGAUUUUUAGACUCUCACUUUCAUUGGACCAGAGUUGCCUUAGGGACAGUAAAAACACAAAAUGCUGGGUAUUGUUUUCAUCAAGCAACUACUGAUAGUGCACAUUUAAAUCAAAAUUCUUCUAAUCCCAAACUCAGUAAACAGAUGCUGUGAGCUUAGUUCUGCCCCUCUGGCUUCAGAUUUUACCCCACUGGAUGUGCCCAAUUCUGAGAUGACAAGACGCUUCCAGCUUCCACAUGGUUGCAAUUUGGCUGUGGAACUGGCAUGAAAGCACGUCACUGUGUCAGCACCUGGGCCACCAGAUGAAUAACCUAUGAACAACAGCUUUGGACUAAAAUAUGAAGGGGUUGUUUUCCUUCAAUCUCCCCCUACCUUCCUCAGAACCUGCUACAAGGAAAGAUUUAUAGACUCGAAAGCGUCAAUGACUGAUUAGACCCAUAUGAUUGCUCCUGCUGUUUCUGAUAUUUUAAAAAAUUGUCUUAUAAAGAGAUAAAAAUAAAUAAUCAAUGGAAAAACUUUUGGCAUGGGAGAGACAUUUAGGGAAAGAAGUCAUUUCAGCCUCCCCCAACACACACAUGCACACACACAUACAGCCUAUAUCACACAAUGGAGGUGAGGACCCACUCAAUCUAGGCUCAGGACUGGCUCCAUGGGACAGAUGGGUGGGACAAGUCAUCCUGCUGCAGUCAGGUAGCAGAGAGCACCGAGGAGACUAAGAUGACAGAGACAAAAUAACUAGAGAAAAGAUACAGGAGCUAGGGGGAGAGGGUUGAGGUUUGACGAAGCUCUCUCUUCCCAGUAGGGGAGAGUUGGAAGCCACAGAUGUAGUUACAGCCCCUUGUUUUCCAGAUGAGGAAACAGGUGCUGUGAUGUUAAGAGCCCCCAGUAGUGGUCCAUGUAGCCAGUGGCCUAUGUCAGCUGGGCUCUUACUCUCAUGGGAGAGGUGCCACCUUCAAAUGUCUGAGAUCCACUGACCUUCUUUGAACAAUAGCAGCUGAAGUAAGAAAACACCAUGAAAAGCCCAUGCCUCUUUAGCGCCAUUUUCAUAUUGAUGUUCCGUCUUCCUCCAUGCAGUCAAAGGGCAACAUUUUCUCUGCAACUUCCCAAUUUUGCCUGAUGCAAAUAAAAUGUGCUGCUCUUGUCCUUCUCUCCUUUUCCCCUUAGUAUUCUUGAUUUUCCCCUAGAUACUCAAGUAAUGCCCAGGUCUCAGGAAUGUAUAAUCUCUUGCUUAUCUCUAGCAACAGAUUUGGGAAUGAGGAAUCGUUCCCUGGAAGAGUCAGAGCGCUCGUAGACACAUUCUGCUGGAUUGCACGAGCUCCUCCCCUGGGAAAUCCACUAAGACUAGAGGAAAGAAUUGCUUGGAGGAUUCAGAGGCUGAAGAGUGGACAGACGGCUUUAAUUGAGAAAAAGAAGCAGAAAAUUGAGGAAGAUGUGAGGCAUCAAUGCCAGCAGACGACAUGUGACAGGUGCUAGCCACAUGGAUCACACUAAAUUUCUGUCAUUUAUAUAGAUAAAAAAGAAUUUCCAAAGAGCUCCUCCAUAAUUCAGCAUUAACCAGCUUUAAAUCAUCACCUUUCUUUACCUUUUCAAAGCACUUUUAUCUAGCUAGCUUUCACUUUCAGAGUGGCCAAUUCAGGUGAGGAUUCUCAAUCCUGUUCUGCAGCUGAGGAACUCAUGCUCAAAAGGGCUAAGAGUUUAUUCUCUUACAUCCAAACACCUUGCUUUUCCAAAUCUUGUGCUCACUUUACCUACACAUUUUGAUUUUUCCAGGCUGAUGACAAGUUAGACAUGCAGACUCCUCAGGCUCAUUCAUAAUCUGUAUAGACAUUACAGGUCAUGCAAAUUUAAGAAAAGGCUAAAAGGUGCCCGUUUGCACCCAACAUGUUGGAUAAUGCCCCGGUAAAGUGGAAAAUCAGUUUCCACAGCCUCGCUCUGUAGGUUUCCUUGGAAUUGUAAAAGCAUAGGACUCUGCCUCAUAUUUAUUUCUAUACGGCAAUGAGGAUAUAAAGGAGCAGACCGAAAAGAGAAAGGAAUUUUAAAAGCCAUGGAAAGCUGCCCUAAAUGUGGUUGGAUAUAGAGAGGAGAGUGCUGAAGGCAAACAGCUGUGCCCUCUUUGCCUUUUUGCUGAGGAAGGGGAUUUAAGCCAAAAGAACACACGUAAACGUGGAUUUCUUAAAGUUCUCACUGUAAUUAUGUAGCCUUGGGAGAUGAGGAAUUGUAAAGUAGAUGCUGGCUUAAACAAAUGAUAAAUCCUUGAGGUGAUGGGCACCCCAUUUUCCCUGAUGUGAUUAUUACACAUAGCAUUCCUGUAUCAAAAUAUCCCAUGUAACCCAUAAAUAUAUAUACCUACCAGUAUAUUUCUGUGGCUAAUCUGAAAGCCACCUGCACCCUUGUGAAGACACCCACAGAGACUUCUGCCUCCCCUCCUACCCUCUGGCCUCAAGAGCUCCCUGGGCUCUCCUGUUGCAGGAGGGAGAGGGAGAGCUUCUUUAGGUUCCUGGUAAGGAUCUCUGAAGACAAUUCCUUAGGCUUGGAUAAUUCCCAGACAUUUGCUAAAAAGCAGCAUCCUCCAAAGCUUUAAUUUGGAUCACAGGAAAAUGAUGCUCCCGCCUCAGAUUCAAACACAGUUUUAUCUCACACUGCAAGCUCCCUGGCAUGGGCAAAGUCCUCGAUGCCUUUCCUGGUGGUUUCCAACAUCAAGGACAUACUUGUUCCUCCUCCUAGCUCUCUCCCUCAGCCAAGUCCUUCCUUACAAUGAAUUGUCCUGCAGAACUCCCUCUUAAGCUUGGCUUCUGGGACAGAAAACCUACUUUCUGAAAGGGUAUGGGGACUGUCAGAGCAUGAACUGGACUCAAGCUCCCAAUUACAGAGCAGACACAAGGCUCUGCCUGCACCAGGCCAUCCCUGGAUUUCUGCAGCUCCAGGACUCUCUUCCAGCAUCUAGAUGCAGCUACUCUCAUUCCAGCUUUGUGUCCUGUUUGAUGCAAAAUCUUUAUUCCUUCCUGUUUCAAUCCCUGUUGCAUAUUCUGUGUGACAAAGCAAGAAGCUGGAAAUCGAGUUCUGAGCUUUAUACCCAGCUCUGCCACAAAUGUGCCAUGACCUUGAAUAAGUCACAUGACUUAUCUGGACCUGGAUUCUCUCAUCUGUAAAAGAGGAAGCUGAGCUAUACUACUUUUAAAAUGUCUCCAGCUUUAAUUUUAUUAGAAUAUCAGCUGCUUCCUCCUCUGGUUUCUCAUGGCAGGUUGUGCAUUCUUCUCUGGAGACACCAAAUUUCAUUGGAGUAUCUCUCCUUACAAAUGUAUUUCCCCACUAGAUUGGCCCCUCAAGAACAAGGAUUGUAUUUUAGUUACCUCUGUUAUCUCUGUACCUGGGGAGGAGUGAGAAAAGGAGAGCAGGAAAGGCAAUGGUAUAGUACCAACAUUUGUUGAGCUUCUAUUAUGAGGAAUUGUCUAUGCUACACAUUGUACAUAAAGUAUGUAUGAUUCACAGUAUAAACAUUAUAAUCUGGAAUCAACCUAAAUGUUCAUUAGCAGAUGAAUGGAUAAAGAAAAUGUGGUAUAUAGACGCAACACAAUACUAUACAGCCAUAAAAAAAAAAAAGAAUGAAAUCUUGUCAUUCAUGGCAGCAUGGAUGAGCCUGGAGGACAUUACGUUAAGUGAAAAAAGUCAGGAACGGAAACACAAAUGCCACAUGUCCUCUUUCAUAUAUGGGAAAAUUUAAAAAGUUACUCUCAUAGAAGUAGAGAGUAAAAUAGAGGCUACUAGAGGCUGGGAAGGGUAGAGGGGCAAGGGUCAUAGGGAAAAGAGAGUUAACGGAUACAAAUUACAGCUAGAAAGAUGGGAAGAGUGAAUUCCAGUGUUCUAAAGCAGGGUAGGUGACUACAGUUAAUGAUUAUUUAUUGUCUACUUAUUGUAUAUUAUUGUAUAUUUUCAAAUAUUGUAUAUUUUCAAAGAGGAUUCUGAAUGUUCCCAACACAACAAAAUAAUAAAUAUUUGAGGUGAUGGAUAUGCUAAGGACCUUGAUUUGAUCAUUACACAUUGAAUACAUGUAUUAAAAUAUCACUCUGUACCCCAUAGAUAUGCUCAAUUAUUUUGUGUCAAUUAAAAUGAUAAAAAAAUUAUAAUCUCAUAUCUGCUGAUGAAGCAACUGGGAAAUUAAUUUAGCCAGGUCACACAGCUGGAUCAGAAAUAAAAUCCAGGUUUGCCUGGCUUUGCCUACUGUCCCAAGGACCUGGCCUGAAGCAAUAGGGCUCUACCAAAAUUCUCCAAAUAUCUAGUAGGUGCUCAAUAAAUACUCAUUAAACAGAUGUGACAUAUAUUCUCUUAUUUGGCUUUUGGUCAGACUAGGAUUUGUC